rnacentral:tRNA from 1 species
GGGGGGGAAUGUGUCCCGGUGGAUGCCUCGGUCUUCAAAACCGCUGGCAGGUGGCGCUGAGCCGGCUGCGGUGGGUUCGACUCCCAUACCCUCCCGC